rnacentral:rRNA from 1 species
UACGGAGGGUGCAAGCAUUGAUCGGAAUUACUGGGCGUAAAGGGCGCGUAGGCGGCUGUAAAAGUCAGGUGUGAAAUUCCGGGGCUCAACCCCGGAGCUGCACUUGAAACUCUACAGCUAGAGUACAGUUAGGGAAAACGGAAUUCCACGUGUAGCGGUGAAAUGCGUAGAUAUGUGGAAGAACACCGGUGGUGAAGACGGUUUUCUGGGCUGUAACUGACGCUGAGGCGCGAAAGCCAGGGGAGCAAACGGG